rnacentral:rRNA from 1 species
GACGAACGCUGGCGGCGUGCUUAACACAUGCAAGUCGAACGAAGAGCGAUGGAAGCUUGCUUCUAUAAAUCUUAGUGGCGAACGGGUGAGUAACGCGUAAUCAACCUGCCCUUCAGAGGGGGACAACAGUUGGAAACGACUGCUAAUACCGCAUACGAUCUAAUCUUGGCAUCGAGGAUAGAUGAAAGGUGGCCUCUACAUGUAAGCUAUCACUGAAGGAGGGGAUUGCGUCUGAUUAGCUAGUUGGAGGGGUAACGGCCCACCAAGGCGAUAAUCAGUAGCCGGUCUGAGAGGAUGAACGGCCACAUUGGGACUGAGACACGGCCCAGACUCCUACGGGAGGCAGCAGUGGGGAAUCUUCCGCAAUGGACGAAAGUCUGACGGAGCAACGCCGCGUGAGUGAUGACGGCCUUCGGGUUGUAAAGCUCUGUUAAUCGGGACGAAAGGCCUUCUUGCGAAUACUGAGAAGGAUGGACGUACCGGAAUAGAAAGCC